GCGGCGGACGGGUGAGUAACACGUGGGUAACCUGCCCGUAAGACCGGGAUAACUCCGGGAAACCGGAGCUAAUACCGGAUAACACCGAAGACCGCAUGGUCUUUGGUUGAAAGGCGGCUUCGGCUGCCACUUACGGAUGGGCCCGCGGCGCAUUAGCUAGUUGGUGAGGUAACGGCUCACCAAGGCGACGAUGCGUAGCCGGCCUGAGAGGGUGACCGGCCACACUGGGACUGAGACACGGCCCAGACUCCUACGGGAGGCAGCAGUAGGGAAUCUUCCGCAAUGGACGAAAGUCUGACGGAGCGACGCCGCGUGAGCGAAGAAGGUCUUCGGAUCGUAAAGCUCUGUUGUUAGGGAAGAAGAAGCGCCGUUCGAAGAGGGCGGCGCGGUGACGGUACCUAACGAGAAAGCCCCGGCUAACUACGUGCCAGCAGCCGCGGUAAUAC
rnacentral:rRNA from 3 species